GAAUUCCAGAAAGAAAACAGAUGAACAUGGUGAGGAAUCACGAAAUCCUCCCCAUGAAGCAAAGGAACAAACACUGCAUGGAAACCAAUUAGAAUUGAAGUCAAUGAAGAAAAGAAGAAGACCAUGUUCUACUUCACGAAGACUGAGGUGAGAAAUCAUGAAAUCUUACCCCGGAAGCCACGGAAUGAACACUGCUUGGAAAGAAACUGGGAUGGAAGACAAGGAAAGAAGACCAUGUUCUACUUCAUGAAGAG